ensembl:lncRNA
UUAUAUUUGGAGUUAAGCAUUUUUAUAUUUGUAUUAUAACUGCUUUAUCUCAAAUAAAACGAAGUCCAUAUUGUGGAUGAUUCGCUAAACCUUAAACAAGUUUUAAGUUUGAAUGAAUUCAUACUUCACUGACCGAGUGACUGGAAAAGGACUCUCUGCUCUAGCUCAGUGGCUGGACCUACAGCUGGACAAAAGGUAAGGACAGUCUUUAUAAAAGCAAAUUGGAAUAAUCUGUUUAGUACAGUCUCCUAAGUAAUACCUAUGAAACUAUUCUGAAAAGGGAUAAAAGGCUUAUCCUCAGGGGACUGAGGGUCAAUCCCUAGGGAAUAGUUGGGAAUACUUAUACAACUAUAACACUCUAAGACACAUCAACACACACUAUAACACUCUAAGACACACAAACACACACUAUAACACUCUAAGACACACAAACACACACUAUAACACUCUAAGACACACAAACACACACUAUAACACUCUAAGAC